CCGCAUCAGGUCUCCAAGGU
rnacentral:ncRNA from 2 species